rnacentral:rRNA from 1 species
UGCACCGUAGUUUACUACACCGUAUUCUGUGAGUUGCGAACGGGUGAGUAACGCGUAGGUAACCUGCCUGGUAGCGGGGGAUAACUAUUGGAAACGAUAGCUAAUACCGCAUAAGAACAUUUACUGCAUGGUAGAUGUUUAAAAGGUGCAAAAGCAUCACUACCAGAUGGACCUGCGUUGUAUUAGCUAGUUGGUGAGGUAACGGCUCACCAAGGCAACGAUACAUAGCCGACCUGAGAGGGUGAUCGGCCACACUGGGACUGAGACACGGCCCAGACUCCUACGGGAGGCAGCAGUAGGGAAUCUUCGGCAAUGGGGGGAACCCUGACCGAGCAACGCCGCGUGAGUGAAGAAGGUUUCCGGAUCGUAAAGCUCUGUUGUUAAGGAAGAACGUGUGUGAGAGUGGAAAGUUCGCACAGUGACG